rnacentral:rRNA from 1 species
AGAACGAACGCUGGCGGCAGGCUUAACACAUGCAAGUCGAACGCUCGUAGCAAUACGGGAGUGGCAGACGGGUGAGUAACGCGUGGGAACAUACCCUCCGGUUCGGAAUAGCUCAGGGAAACUUGGAUUAAUACCGGAUACGGCCGAGAGGCGAAAGAUUUAUCGCCGGAGGAUUGGCCCGCGUUCGAUUAGCUAGUUGGUGAGGUAACGGCUCACCAAGGCGAUGAUCGAUAGCUGGUCUGAGAGGAUGAUCAGCCACAUUGGGACUGAGACACGGCCCAAACUCCUACGGGAGGCAGCAGUGGGAAUAUUGGACAAUGGGCGCAAGCCUGAUCCAGCCAUGCCGCGUGAGUGAUGACGGCCUUAGGGUGUAAAGCUCUUUCGCUCGGGACGAUAAUGACGGUACCGAGAUAAGAAGCCCCGGCUAACUUCGCGCCAGCAGCCGC